rnacentral:rRNA from 1 species
GCCAGCCCGCUCAGAAACUCAAAGGAAUUGACGGGGGCCCGCACAAGCGGUGGAGCAUGUGGUUUAAUUCGAUGAUACGCGAGGAACCUUACCUGGGCUCAAAUGUAUGUUGACGUAUUCUGAAAGGGAUACUUCUUCGGACAAUAUACAAGGUGCUGCAUGGUUGUCGUCAGCUCGUGCCGUGAGGUGUCGGGUUAAGUCCCAUAACGAGCGCAACCCCUAUCAUUAGUUGCCAUCAGGUCAAGCUGGGGACUCUAAUGAAACUGCCUACGCAAGUAGUGAGGAAGGUGGGGAUGACGUCAAAUCAGCACGGCCCUUACGUCCAGGGCUACACACGUGCUACAAUGGCCGGUACAAAGGGCAGCUACCUGGUGACAGGAUGCAAAUCUCCAAAGUCGGUCUCAGUUCGGAUCGGAGUCUGCAACCCGACUCCGUGAAGUUGGAUUCGCUAGUAAUCGCGCAUCAGCCAUGGCGCGGUGAAUACGUUCCCGGGCCUU